rnacentral:rRNA from 1 species
CAAGUCGAACGUCCUCUCGUUUCGGAAGGAGCGCGAGGGAGUGGCGGACGGGUGAGUAACACGUGGGUGAUCUACCGGCAGGUGAGGAAUACCGGCGAGAAAUGGCCGACAAGACCGCAUACGAUUGCGCGCAGGCGCAAUCAAAGUCGUGGCGCGAGUCACGAUGCCUGCUGCUGAGCCCGCGCCCGAUUAGCUGGUUGGUGAGGUAAGAGCUCACCAAGGCGACCAUCGGUAGCUGGUCUGAGAGGAUGAGCAGCCACACUGGGAUUGAGAACGGCCCAGACUCCUACGGGGGGCAGCAGUGAGGAAUUUUCCGCAAUGGGCGCAAGCCUGACGGAGCAACGCCGCGUGCAGGAGGACGGCCUUCGGGUUGUAAACUGCUUUUCCCAGGGACGAGCCACAGGACGGUACCUGGGGAAUAAGCCCCGGCUAACUACGUGCCAGCAGCCGCGGUAAUACGUAGGGGGCAAGCGUUGUCCGGAGUUACUGGGCGUAAAGGGCUCGCAGGCGGUGCGAUGCGUUGUGGGUGCCAGCCUUGUGCUUCACACAGGGAGUGCUCGCAAAACGGUGGCACUUGAGGGCCAGAGAGGGACAUGGAACUCCGGGUGGAGUGGUGAAAUGCGUAGAGAUCCGGAAGAACACCAAAGGCGAAGGCAGUGUCCUGGCUGGUACCUGACGCUGAGGAGCGAGAGCUAGGGGAGCGAACAGGAUUAGAUACCCUGGUAGUCCUAGCCGUAAACGAUGACCACUAGGCGUGGGAGGUAUCGACCCCUUCCGUGCCGUCGGUA